rnacentral:rRNA from 1 species
AUGGCUGCCGUUGCGAUUCGAGCAGCCUGCUGCAGUUCAUUGAUGUCAGAAUUGCUGGCUAUCGGCAUGCUCAAGCUGCAUGGCAUUGCACAUUUAUCUCUAACUUGCCAUGCUCGAUGUAUUUGCAUGAUAUGCCGUGUCUUGUUCGAAUUCAAACUUUGUGUAUGGACUGAUGACGAACCAGAAGAUGAGCCAAAACAUGACAUUCUGAUUGAAUGGUGUACCGAGUUUGCGAACAUGUUCAAAACAGAACCAUUCAUUGAAUUCUGGCGUCUGUCUGGGGAGAAGUGUGGAUUUGAUAUGAAGUUUCUGGUAUUGGAAAAUGUAGUUCAAGCAAAGGUUGAUGUUGAGAUACUUCGUUCUGCGGUCGAUGGCCUCAAUCUGAAUCUUUAUGCGAAGACUAGUGACUUCAGAGAUGUGAUCCGCCUCUUUUCUGGAGUUUCAGAAUCAGGUUGCAGAAUGAGUUCGGCCAUCAGAGUGAUGAGACACAGUUAUCUUAAUUUUUGUAUUGAAGGAUCCCCGAAAGCUGGUGUUUUUUCUCAAGAGCUGCCGUGUUGUAUGUGGGAAGGUCGAUUUGGUUCACGGUAUCAUGGAACAGUGCAUGAAGUGGUGCAUCUUGAUGAUUCCACAAAAACUUCUGUCAAUGUUAAGAGUUGA